rnacentral:lncRNA from 1 species
AGGAGCCUCUGGGCCUCCAUCUGCCGCAUCCGGUCUUCGUCUUCGGAUUCAUCAACGCCUUGCCGGCCGGUGAGCAAUCUUAACUUGCUUCCUUAAUUGUCUAGAAAGGGUUCAACUCCUUAGAUUAGCUAGCUCCGCCCUCCAUGUAUGUAUCGCCUUCACCUUGAGCUAUCGUACGUCAAGUCAACAAACAGCCUUGAGCUAUCGUAAAUAAAAUGUUUUAAACCAAGAUCUCUGGGAGGAUGCGGAUGUGUUCAACGAUGUUGUCGAACCGAUGUCUCAUGUCUUCUGACAAUGUGCUUCAGACUUGUCUCCUUAUUCUCUUUUUGUCGAUAAUUUUCGUAAAGACCUUUCUCCUUGAUUACUUUCUAGUUUAGCUCCCCCUUAUAGCCUGCAGCUUAUAUAUAUCCUUCUGUAGUUUGGUUAGCCUGUAGCUAUUCGCUGUAUCAAACUUUUUUGGUUUUUAUAUUUUGUUGUAAUAAAGAAAAAGGACGUCCAAUUUUGUUGUAUAUAUCCUUCUAUAGUUUGGUUGCCGCUUAAUUAAAGUUAAAAAAUGGUUCAGCCUGAUAUUUUGUCAAAAAACAAUGUUUAAAAUCAGAUGCUAUGUCUGAUCCUUCAUUGGUUCAUGGAGGAGUCCUAUUUGUAGUUGUAGGUGAUGCUGCUAAUGGAGUUUUUUUUUUCUUCCCCUUUCUUCUGUGCAGCGUCGCUGGAUACAAUUACGAUGGCAUGGUCUAAGUUGGUCGUGAAGGUCAUUCGUGUUCACAAGCUAUUCCCAGAGCAUAGUAAAGAUUCUACAAGUGCCUUUGUCGUGGUCACCUUUGAUUCUCGACAUCUAUCAAAUUUCUCCAUCGGCCGUAGGAGACUGGGAAGCUAGUCGAACCCCCGGCCGGGGCCUGCAUCAGCAUCAUCGUG